CCUACGGGAGGCAGCAGUGGGGAAUAUUGCACAAUGGGGGAAACCCUGAUGCAGCGACGCCGCGUGAGUGAAGAAGUAAUUCGUUAUGUAACGCUCUAUCAGCAGGGAAGAAAAUGACGGUACCUGAGUAAGAAGCCCCGGCUAACUACGUGCCAGCAGCCGCGGUCAUACGUAGGGGGCAAGCGUUAUCCGGAUUUACUGGGUGUAAAGGGAGCGUAGACGGCAGUGCAAGUCUGGAGUGAAAGGCGGGGGCUCAACCCCCGGACUGCUCUGGAAACGGUACGGCUGGAGUGCAGGAGAGGUAAGUGGAAGUCCGAGUGUAGCGGUGAAAUGCGUAGAUAUUAGGAGGAACACCAGUGGCGAAGGCGGCUUACUGGACUGUAACUGACGUUGAGGCUCGAAAGCGUGGGGAGCAAACAGGAUUAGAUACCCCAGUAGUC
rnacentral:rRNA from 1 species